GAAAAACUUCAAAGUUUUAUGUUCCCAGAAUUUUAAACGAGAAAUCUGACCUUCCUGCAAUUUCUUGAUAUGUGCUGGUGAUGAUGAAAUCUGCUGAGUUCAUUGCAAUUAUAUCUGCUGUAAACUGACAUGAAAAAUGUUUUUGAAGUUACAAUACCAGUGUAACUCCCAGCUUGUUUGCCAUGAGUGAUGCAACCAGAUUUCCAUCUGUGUAAUUUCCAAUUAUGAUGUCAGGCUUUCCUUCCAUAAGCUCAAGAACUUUGGUCGUGGCAUCCUGGCAUCAGAUCAAACGAAAUUAGGCGCUGAAUCAGACCAAUUAUUAUGAGGCUUUUCUAUGUACUAGACACAUACCUGGCCCCCAGUAUCAGGCAAGCCAAGAACAUUGGCUUGGCCGAAGUAACCGUGUACUGAGAAUAUCACAAUAUUGAAGAUCGUCGGAAGCCUGCCUAAGAAUCUCUCAACAUUCAUUGGGUCCGGAGCCUGGAGUACCUCAGAGAGCGAACGCAUCAUUUCUCUGACUCUUGCAGCGGUACUCUGUAGCAUUAAUGCCUUCAACAGUGAGAUCAUGGGCAUUCACUUUAACGUAUUCCCAAUAGCCUGGACUCGGUCUUACCGCAAAGGCAACAUACGGAGGAAUAACAGCCGCUUCCUGUGGAUUUUCGGACAAAAC